UAAUAAAAGGUGGUCGACUAUAGAGAGGAGUACAUAAUAAAAGGUGGUCGACUAUAGAGAGGAGUACAUAAUAAAAGGUGGUCGACUAUAGAGAGGAGUACAUAAUAAAAGGUGGUCGACUAUAGAGAGGAGUACAUAAUAAAAGGUGGUCGACUAUAGAGAGGAGUACAUAAUAAAAGGUGGUCGACUAUAGAGAGGAGUACAUAAUAAAAGGUGGUCGACUAUAGAGAGGAGUACAUAAUAAAAGGUGGUCGACUAUAGAGAGGAGUACAUAAUAAAAGGUGGUCGACUAUAGAGAGGAGUACAUAAUAAAAGGUGGUCGACUAUAGAGAGGAGUACAUAAUAAAAGGUGGUCGACUAUAGAGAGGAGUACAUAAUAAAAGGUGGUCGACUAUAGAGAGGAGUACAUAAUAAAAGGUGGUCGACUAUAGAGAGGAGUACAUAAUAAAAGGUGGUCGACUAUAGAGAGGAGUACAUAAUAAAAGGUGGUCGACUAUAGAGAGGAGUACAUAAUAAAAGGUGGUCGACUAUAGAGAGGAGUACAUAAUAAAAGGUGGUCGACUAUAGAGAGGAGUACAUAAUAAAAGGUGGUCGACUAUAGAGAGGAGUACAUAAUAAAAGGUGGUCGACUAUAGAGAGGAGUAAAUAAUAAAAGGUGGUCGACUAUAGAGAGGAGUACAUAAUAAAAGGUGGUCGACUAUAGAG